GGAUGUGAGGGCGAUCUGGCUGCGACAUCUGUCACCCCAUUGAUCGCCAGGGUUGAUUCGGCUGAUCUGGCUGGCUAGGCGGGUGUCCCCUUCCUCCCUCACCGCUCCAUGUGCGUCCCUCCCGAAGCUGCGCGCUCGGUCGAAGAGGACGACCUUCCCCGAAUAGAGGAGGACCGGUCUUCGGUCAAGGGUAUACGAGUAGCUGCGCUCCUCUGCUAGAACCUCCAAACAAGCUCUCAAGGUCCAUUGUAGGAGAACGUAGGGUAGUCAAGCUUCCAAGACUCCAGACACAUCCAAAUGAGGCGCUGCAUGUGGCAGUCUGCUUUCUUUU
rnacentral:snRNA from 2 species